CCUGUUCUCUGUGUUCAGAGAGAAACAAGGAGGGCACACAUGCAUGGGGAACUCUCUCAAUGACUCUGUGGGAAGAAUCAGAAUGCACAAUUCUGUCUUCAGCAGCAGACGUGCCUACGUCUUGGAGUUUGUGAGACAACACCGUCAUCUACAUAGCUCGCC
rnacentral:lncRNA from 14 species